rnacentral:lncRNA from 1 species
UUUAUUCUGAACUUCAGAGCUGCGCUUCGAGAGAGCCAUAGGACGCGCUACCAACAUCAGGCUAAUGGAACGUGAAGUAUGGACUUUUUGACCGAAAAUACAUCUGUUGUGGACCUGGGAUGCUUUCUGAUGAAGACAACUAAAGGCGGCGAAUCGCAUCUCUGCAUGUCUGUCAGACAUAUCAGUGUGGAUGACGGAUCACCAGCUCAAGCUGAACCUCGGCAAGACGGAGCUGCUCUUCCUCCCGGGGAAGGACUGCCCGUUCCAUGAUCUCGCCAUCACGGUUGACAACUCCCUUGUGUCCUCCUCCCAGAGUGCUAAGAACCUUGGCGUGAUCCUGGACAACACCCUGUCGUUCUCCACUAACAUCAAGGCGGUGACCCGAUCCUGUAG